UGAUCAGAUGCUUCAGUGCUCUGAGAGUGUUUAUAGUGCUGUGAGUUUAACACUUCAUCACUGACACACACAACAAUCUUCAUCAACAUGACCUUCAUCAUCAUCUGGACGCUCUUAUACUGCUUUAUACUACAAGGCUGUAGAGCUCAGAUCACAGUGACUCAAACUCCUGCAGUGAAAACUGUUAAACCAGGAGAAAAUGUUGAGAUGAGCUGUAAAUUCAGUACUGCUCCAGGCUGCAGCCCACCAUGUGUUGCUUGGUAUUUACAGAAACCUGGAGAAGCUCCUAAACUCCUGAUUUAUUACACAAACCGCCUCCAGUCAGGAACUCCAUCUAGAUUCAGUGGCAGUGGAUCUAACAGUGAUUUCACUCUGACCAUCAGUGGAGUCCAGACUGAAGAUGCUGGACAUUAUUACUGUAUGAGUGAACACAGUGGUCCAGUGUUCACACAGUGAUAAAGAGUCGUACAAAAACCUCCGUCAGUCAGAGUCACAGUGACUGAACUGAUACUGCAGCUGCUCAAAGGAGGAUCUGAAACAACAUCGUCACACAAACAUCUGAAAUA